GGAGGGUUGGCCGAGCCGGUAAGGCAGCGGCUUGCUAAGCCGUCGUCAGGGGCGACCCUGCGCGAGUUCGAAUCUCGCACCCUCCG
rnacentral:tRNA from 1 species